GGCUGGUCCGAGUGCAGUGCUGUUUACAACUAAUUGAUCACAACCAGUUACAGAUUUCUUUGUUCCUUCUCCACUCCCACUGCGUCACUUGACUAGCCUAAA
ensembl:misc_RNA Y_RNA Y RNA